GCGGCAUGUCCUGAUGACGGUCCUUCCAGACGGCCGACGACGACGGAGGGUUGGGAUUUGGGGGGCAGCAGUCGCCCCACCGGAGCGAGGUCUUCUGGGAGGGGCUAUUCCUUGUUCUAAACGCGAGGCCGCCCAUGGGCACUGAUGGCCAUCGAUUUUCACCCAACUCACCAAGCGUGCUGCUACUCUGCUGCUGCUUUUCCUUCCUUCUCGAAAUUUUGCUUCGCCUAUGGCACUGAUACCGAUCGUGUCGAUCAGUACAGUUCUUCACCUGAAAUACAUCGAGCUGGAUCCUCCUAGGUUAACAAAGAUGAAUGAAGUAGCCUUACCUCACAUGGAAAGUUCUCCCAAAGAGCUCUACGACUCUAUUACAGAGCAGAGUUUUUUUGGCGUGACAGAAAGAGACCACAGAAAUUCAUAGAACA
rnacentral:misc_RNA from 1 species